rnacentral:rRNA from 1 species
GAUGAACGCUGGCGGCGUGCCUAAUACAUGCAAGUCGAGCGAACAGACGAGGAGCUUGCUCCUCUGACGUUAGCGGCGGACGGGUGAGUAACACGUGGAUAACCUACCUAUAAGACUGGGAUAACUUCGGGAAACCGGAGCUAAUACCGGAUAACAUGUUGAACCGCAUGGUUCAACAGUGAAAGACGGUCUUGCUGUCACUUAUAGAUGGAUCCGCGCCGCAUUAGCUAGUUGGUAAGGUAACGGCUUACCAAGGCAACGAUGCGUAGCCGACCUGAGAGGGGGGAGGGCCAACACGAGAGGUGAGCACGGCCCAGGACCCCGGGGGGAGGCGGAAGGGGGAAUUUUCCCGAAAGGGGAGAAGGCCGGGCGGAGCACCGCGGGGGGGGAGAAAAAGGUUUCGGGAUCGAAAAACUUUUUUAUAGGGAAAAAAAAAAUGUGAAAGAAAUUAGGCCCGUCUGGAGGGUACUUAACAAAAAGGCCACGCCAAACUACGUC